rnacentral:misc_RNA from 1 species
UCUCCGUUGGUGAACCAGCGGAGGGAUCAUUACCGAGUUUACAACUCCCAAACCCAAUGUGAACCAUACCAAACUGUUGCCUCGGCGGGGUCACGCCCCGGGUGCGUCGCAGCCCCGGAACCAGGCGCCCGCCGGAGGGACCAACCAAACUCUUUCUGUAGUCCCCUCGCGGACGUUAUUUUUACAGCUCUGAGCAAAAAUUCAAAAUGAAUCAAAACUUUCAACAACGGAUCUCUUGGUUCUGGCAUCGGUGAAGAACGCAGC